GCUUGAUGAAGCUGCUUUUGCAAUUAGAGCUUUUAUUACCACGAUAACAAGGCACCGCCCGAAGCUGUGGCGCCAGCCUGGCCGGGGGAGGGCUCUUUGGGCCGAGAGGCUUGGGACAGAACAAAGGUUCCGGUUCCCCGAAGGCACGAGUGAUCCUGGUAGCAGCGAUGGGUCAGCAGAUCCAGGAAGCCCGGCCUCCAGGCUGAGGCCAAGGCCCCGCGCAGCCCUCCCCCAAAGCCCCACACCACUGGCCGUCCUGCCGUGAGACUCCUCACCCUCUCCUGGGCUGGCCGCUGCGUCUACCGACCCCUCGGUCCAUCUUCCUCCUUCAGCGGCUGCUCAGCGUAGCACGCGGGCCUCUCACUGUUGUGGCCUCUCCCGUUGCGGAGCACAGGCUCCGGACCCGCAGGCUCAGCGGCCACGGCUCACGGGCCCAGCCGCUCCACGGCAUGUGUGAUCUUCCCGGACCGGGGCACGAACCCGUGUCCCCUGCAUCGGCAGGCGGACUCUCAACCACUGCGCCACCAGGGAAGCCCCGUCUUAAACAUUUUUAAGUGCACAGUUCGGUAGCGUUAAGUAAAUUCAUACUGUUGUGCAACCAAUUUCUGGAACUCUUUUCAUCCUGCAGAACUGAAACUCUGUACCCAUUAAACAACAACUCCCGGUUCCUUCCCCCAUCUGGCCCCUGGAAAGCACCAUUCUACUGUCUGUCUCAAUGAAUUUGUCUAUUCUAGGGACCUCAUAUAAGUGGAACUAUGCAAUAUGUGUCCUUUCAUGUCUGGCCUAUUUUAGUCAGCACAGUGUCUCUGAGGUUCAUCCAUGUUAUAACAUAUGUCAGAAUUUUAUCCUUUUUAGACCGAAAAAUAUUCCGUUGUAUGGAUAGACCAUAUGUUUUUGUUGUUGUUGUUUAAUAUUUAUUUAUUUUGGCUGCACCAGGUCUUCGUUGUGGCAUGCGGGCUCUUAGUUGCAGCAUUCAUGCGGGAUCUAGUUACCUGCCAGGGAUCGAACCCAGGCCCCCUGCAUUGGGAGCGUGGAGUCCUACCCACUGGACCACCAGGGAAGUCCCGGGAUCUCAAGCCACAUGUCCAGGACUGAGCUCUGAUCCCCACAUUCUGAAAGCCCCUGCUGGACUCAGAAACCACCAACUGCCUGGAUCCUUCUGAGGCAGGGUCAUCAGCUUGGGUACCAUUCUUUCUGCCCCUGGGAGUCCCUGAUACCAGCUUCAGUGGCUACACAUUUUCCCAUCCAUGGAUGUGUCCCUGUUCACCCUCACCCGCCCCACACCUCCCCCCAGAGCAGAUGUGUGAGCCGCAGCCCUGCAGCCACCAGACGCCCCAGGUGGGUCUGCUGGUUUUAGACCACAAACACCGAUCAGGUCAACUUAAGAAGGAAAAGAAUUUUGGGGGAGGCUCUCAAGAGCCCACAGCCUGGGUUCUGCUCUAGGAGCUGCUGUGGCCGCCGCUGACACCGUGGAUGCCUGACGCCACCAGGGAGAGUGUCACGGGGGGACGCUGCAGCCAUGGCCGCCAAGAUGAUUCCUCGCGGUCUAUGGAAGAAUGGCAGGUCAAGACCCUCACGGUGCGGAACUCCAUCCUGCAGAAGGCACAGCAGAGGUGGGGCCGUUAAACAAAGCAGCCCCUGGCUCCUACCCGAAUCAAUGUCAUCUCACCUAACAGCAGCUGGUGUUUGCUGAGUGCUUCCUGGGUGCCAGUUUCUACACAGGACUUCGCGCGUGUUGGCUGCCUCUCUGCUCUUUGAGUGUAUGAACUCCUAUUCAUCCCUCAGGGCCCUUCUUAAUCUCGCGUCCUGCUUGAAGCCUGCCUUGAUUCCCCAGCAGAAGUGGGGCCACCCUCCUCUGUACUCCAUCAGUGCUUCUCACACACAUCUAGUCAAGCACUUCUCACGCUUGUUUGCUGUUUGUGUAUCUGCUGUGUGUGAGGGAAAGGGCUGGGUCCGAAUCACUCCCGUGGCC